rnacentral:rRNA from 1 species
CGAGCGGACAGCAGGGAGCUUGCUCCCGGAUGUUAGCGGCGGACGGGUGAGUAACACGUGGGUAACCUGUCCUGUAGCACUGGGUUAACUCCGGGAAACCGCAGCUAAUACCGGAUAGUUCCUUGAACCGCAUGGUUCAAGGAUGAAAGACGGUUUCGGCUGUCACUUACAGAUGGAUCCGCGGCGCAUUAGCUAGUUGGUGGGGUAAUGGCUCAUCAAGGCCACGAUACGUAACGCGACCUGGGAGGGUGAUCGGACCACACUGGCACUGACACAUGUCCCACACUCCUAUGCGAGGCAGCGGUAGUGUAUCUUCCGCAAUGGACGAAAGUCUGACGGAGCAACGCCGCGUGAGUGAUGAAGGUUUUCGGAUCGUAAACCUCUGUCGUUAGGGAAGAAGGAGUGCGAGAGUAACUGCUCGCACCUUGACGGUACCUAACCAGAAAGCCACGGCUAACUACGUGCCAGCAGCCGCGGUAAUACGUAGGUGGCAAGCGUUGUCCGGAAUUAUUGGGCGUAAAGGGCUCGCAGGCGGUUUCUUAAGUCUGAUGUGAAAGCCCCCAGCUCAACCGGGGAGGGUCAAAGGAAACUGGGAAACUUGAGUGCAGAAAAGGAGAGUGGAAUUCCACGUGUAGCGGUGAAAUGCGUAGAGAUGUGGAGGAACACCGGGGGCGAAGGCGACCGUCUGUAACUGACGCUGAGGAGCGAAAGCGUGGGGAGCGAACAGGAUUAGAUACCCUGGUAGUCCACGCCGUAAACGAUGAGUGCUUAGGGGGUUUCCGCCCCUUAGUGCUGCAGCUAACGCAUUAAGCACUCCGCCUGGGGAGUACGGUCGCAAGACUGAAACUCAAAGGAAUUGACGGGGGCCCGCACAAGCGGUGGAGCAUGUGGUUUAAUUCGAAGCAACGCGAAGAACCUUACCAGGUCUUGACAUCCUCUGACAACCCUAGAGAUAGGGCUUUCCCUUCGGGGACAGAGUGACAGGUGGUGCAUGGUUGUCGUCAGCUCGUGUCGUGAGUUUUUGGGUUAAGUCCCGCAACGAGCGCAACCCUUGAUCUUAGUUGCCAGCAUUCAGUUGGGCACUCUAAGGUGACUGCCGGUGACAAACCGGAGGAAGGGGGGGAUGACGUCAAAUCAUCAUCCCCCUUAUGCCCUGGGCUACACACGUGCUACAAUGGACAGAACAAAGGGCUGCAAGACCGCAAGGUUUUUCCAAUCCCAUAAAUCUGUUCUUUGUUCGGAUCGCAGUCUGCAACUCGACUGCGUGAAUUUGGAAUCGCUAGUAAUCGCGGAUCAGCAUGCCGCGGUGAAUACGUUCCCGGGCCUUGUACACACCGCCCGUCACACCACGAGAGUU